rnacentral:pre_miRNA from 1 species
CAAGUACUGCCUCCGUCCGGAAUUACUUGUCAUCAAAAUGGAUGUGUCUAGAACUAAAAUACAUCUAGAUACAUCCAUUUCAAUGACAAGUAUUUUCGGACGGAGGGAGUACAAG